CGUGUAAAAAUAUUUUCCUGUGUUCAAUUCCAUUUCUUAGCUCACACGUUUCAGGACAGUUCUCUACUCAGCAACAUAAAUUCAUAUAAGUAGUGUAUUACCAAAAAUUUAGUUCAAAUUAAGGAAGUGUAAAUUAACAUGAAGAUCGCCAUACUAUUUGCUGUGCUGUUUGCUUAUUGUGCUGUCGCGGUUAGUGGAGGUCCGGAAAGCAGACAUGCCACGGGAAACUGCAACCAGAACGAGGAGUGGUUUCCCAAUGGAUGUGAAGAUGCACCUCUAAACUGCCAAAACUAUAAAAAUCCUAGCACCCUGAAGUACGGAGGCUGCCACGGGGGCUGCCUCUGCAAGGCGGGAUAUGUUCGGCCGGUUCGAAAUUCGGAGCACUGCAUCCUGCCCCAGGACUGUCAAGACAGUUGAAAGAAUGAAAUCUUUAAAACGACGAAGUUAGUUGAUUAUGAACUCUAAUAAUUCUGCAAGAUAUGAUUUUAUUUACGAACAUAUGCCUUAGGAUAACUUUUUUUUAAAUAUAAGUGAGAAUUUGGAUCACUAUGUACCUUAUGCAUUUAUCUGUUAUGUUAACUUUAAAAAAAUGUUUAAUUCAGUGGUUUUAAUAGUGUAAUUCGAUAAUGAAAAUAGUAAACAUGGAUAAUAACUAAGAAGACAAAAAAUCAAUUAUGUUAAAACAAUCUUAUAACAAUUGUGUUGGCAAGAAAAACCCCAGUAAAAUUUCAUUGCGCUUUGGACCUUUCGAAAACAAAAAUCAAAGCUUGAUGUCUAAUUAAUCUCAUUAUUCGUAUAAGAACAGUUCCAAAUUGAUUAUUUCCCAAACACUCAUUAUUUUUCAAGUAGAAUCUAUCAUUUCUAAAUAAAAUAUUUAAAAAAAACACACAGAAAUAGAUCGUAAAACAUUUUUUAAACAUGUACAAAUGUCGUCUUUGAAUUUUAAGAACUACAACAAAAUUAGAUGAAAAUGAACCGACACAUGAACUGAACAAGAGCCUGUCCUAUAAAAUAGAUUAUAUAGGAUUGAUGUAUUUGAAGACCGAAGGCAGAGAACUUUUUGAUUUUUUGCAAUUAUAAGUAAAAGUUAUCAAUAAAAUAAACCUAUUUUCAUAACUAAAAGUGAGAACAUGCAUUUUCCGGAAGACACAUACUGUUUAUACAAAAGCCCCUCGACCUGUUCAUCGAAGCUGUCAGCUACUACACCGCACUACACCAGCUCACUAAGGUGAGCUACUACUGAACGGACCCGAAGAGCGAACACAAUGAUCGUCGACUAGCAGCAGGAGUAGUAGCCGAGAGCACCCGACGGUUUUUGGCGCGAUCACCCGAAGCAGUUGAUCCUCGGCCGCGAUCGUCUUACCACAGCUCGGCAUCGGAAUUAAAAUUCACUUAGUUAAGUUAGACUGUAUAAGAGAAUAAAUCGGAAGUUAGAAUAUUGUUGGUUUUAAUAAA